rnacentral:lncRNA from 1 species
UUCUUUUAUGUAAUAUGCAGUUUUUCGGAUUCAAAAAUGCAUUUUCUCAGAGGUUACUGAGAGAAUUUGUAGCAAAUGUUGGUGGAACUACAGAACAGAGUUCGUCACCAACUAAUUUGCUGACUGAACCUUCCGAUACAGUAUAUGGAAUACAAUGCACAGAAUCAAAUAAAUAUCCUGAUUUGCAGCCAUAUUUGGAAAAGCUACAAGUUACAGGGAAGAGAAGUAGGAGAGACAAAAGUAUUAACAUUAAGCUUCUUACUGAGGCAAAUUCUAAACAACGUCAACCUCAAAAUUGUAUGCAGAACGCUGAUGCUUCAAAUUCUAGACAAAAGGAUCAAAGAAAUCUUAAUGGCUGCAGUCCUUCAACUUGAAGUAUGGCCUGCAGCUCUAGUAAUAGUCCAGGAGUAAUAAUAGGACCAAACUUGGCAGUCGUGGUUGAGAAGGAAACUUGUUUGUUUUCAGCAGAAAGAAAACUGCAGUCAGAGUCUAUGGAUAUUUCUGAUCAUCUUAAAUUAGGAGGCCUCCCCCAAGCAAGAGAGCUUAUUAGUUCUUAAAAUUAUUUGAGCACAAAGGCUGAUAACUUGCCAAAAGGCGAUGAACUUGUUGUUGGGAAUCUACUUAUACAUGCAAAG